ensembl:misc_RNA Metazoa_SRP Metazoan signal recognition particle RNA
GCCAGGCACGGUGGCAUGUGCCUGUAGUCCCAGCUACGCAGGAGGCUGAGGUAGGAGGAUCCCUUGAGCCCAGGAGUUCAAGGCUGCAGUGAACCAUGAUCAUGCCACUGCAGUCCAGCCUGGGCAACAGAGUGAGACCCUGUCUCAA